rnacentral:rRNA from 1 species
UACGGGGGGGGCAAGCGUUGUUCGGAAUUACUGGGCGUAAAGGGCUCGUAGGCGGCCAACUAAGUCGGAUGUGAAAUCCCCAAGCUUAACUUGGGAACUGCAUCCGAUACUGGAUGGCUUGAAUCCGGGAGAGGGAUGCAGAAUUCCAGGUGUAGCGGUGAAAUGCGUAGAUAUCUGGAGGAAUACCGGUGGCGAAGGCGGCAUCCUGGACCGGCAUUGACGCUGAGGAGCGAAAGCUAGGGAGCAAACGGG